GAGAGAUGUAUAUAACGCAUAAUUAAAUGACUGAGGUCGUUGUGCAGCACACGGAGCCGUAUGUGCUUUUAAACAGCCACAGCGUGCACAGAGCAAGUCCAUGAGGCCAACACCCACCCCGUCUCUCGGAUGAGCGCUACAUAGUGAGCUGCCGUGCUGUCGGGACCCUCGCUGCUGCUGCUGCUGUUCUAAGCUUCCUGCAAGCGAGCUAUGGGCUCGGAUCUCCUGGAAUCCCUCCCUGCCCUCUCCAACCUCAGCUCCUCCUAGCUCCCCAAGGGUCUUCCCACUCUCCCUUCUUUCCUCAGGGCUUGCCCACCCUCACCCUCGAUUCCUCUGCCACACCUUUCUAAAGGUGGGACUCCGAGCCUCUGGGCAUACGCAAAGUCACCCCCUUGGAAAAGGACACCUGUCCUUAGUUUAAUCCAGAGACAGACAGCGCCGCUAGAGCGUGGAGAAGAUGGCUACCCUCGGAAUAAUGUUCCAAAUGCAUGAAAUACACGGGACUAUAGGAGAAAGCAAUUAUAAUCCAAUACACGUAUCAAAUUAUUGAAGGAAUGGAUCUGUGAUGUAGUACUAUGUGACUUUCAAGACACAGCAGCAGGUCACGCCGCAGGAACCCGGCAGCGGUGCUCGGCACAACUGGCAUGGCGUCACUACCGUGACGGGACCCCUGCGGCAGGACAUGGGAACACCUGUGACUUCUGAUGACAGAUGUUUGUUGCUCAUGUUCAUAAUGGAAGGAAAUGGUACGCUUUGCUGAAAGGUUAGUGAAAAUUAGUAAUUUCCUCCUAUCCAGCCUCACAGAUCCCCUGACUUCUAUCUGUGACAUCCGAGCUCAGAGUCCCAGACACAGCGUUAGGAAACCUCAGAGACCACCUAGUUACUUCUCCCUGGGAGCUCAGAGACUGGCCAAAGCUCACGCCCCUCCAGCUGCUGGAAACUCAGGCCCAGAGCCCCGCACUGGCUGUUGCUGCCCCCACAUGCCACGGGACUACCGACGCUGGGGAAAGAGACAGUGGGGUCUCGGCUGGGUUGUUGUCUCCACCCUCAUCAAAGAAACUCCACGGACCACCCACAGUCCCCCAGAUCUGCCAGUCAUACUUGGAGGGGCAGUGGGAGGGACGACCUGAAGAAGUGAUCCUGAGCUCACGAGACACCCACACUCUCUUCAAAGCCAAGGGUGCCGGCUGCCAUCUUAUCCAUAGACCCACAAAGAAGCACAGAAAAACGCUCCACAAAACGUGACUACCCUUUGGACGAAACACCAGCAAACCAAAUGCAGCAACGUCUAAAAAGGACUAGGCACCAUGACCAAGAGGAUGUAUGACACAGUGCAAGAUGAUACCACAAGUCAACCCAAAAGUUGCUGGGGAGAAGUUUCUCUUUAAUGAAUUGCAUCUCAUGAAUGUAUCAGGCUGUGACCUUUCUGCACUCUCUAAUGAGUUCAUGAAUUUAGGCCAAUUAUGGCCACAAAUGCUGCUGCUGUCACAGAGAGAUGCCGGAUAAACAACACCCACCACCAGUCUCUGAACAGGGAGGGGAGAAUCAACUCUGAAUGUGAUGUAGUGGCCAGGAGAGAGGACCACGUUCAACAACGCCACACAGAUGCAAAUGGCCUGUUUCUUCAACAAACUGCAAGGGAAAAAAUAAAAAUGGGGGAAGCUACAGAUUAAAAUACAUGUGUUUGGAUAGGAGAGUAUUCAAUGGCAAAAGAAAAAGAAAAAAUUUAAAAAUGAAAUUGUGCAAAACUUAUUUGAAUCCUGUUCAAGUGAGCAACAAAACAUUAUGAUGUACAUGAGACAACUGGAAAUAUAACUCUGACUGGACACUUUGAGAUAUUAAGCAAUUACUGUUCAUUUUUACGUAUCAAACAGUAUGGUAUUGUGGUUACGCUUUUAAAAAGAUUUGUAUUUUAGCGACACAUACUGGAAUUUUUACAGGGAAAGCCCACUGAGGAUGCUGGGCAUCAGGUCACUAGCACCGAGUGAAUUUUUUACAAUAAGCAGUAAUUCUCCCCAGCCCCAUGCAUCAUAGCCAAUCCUAAAUGAAUGCCAAUCUGGAAAAGACCAAAAUAAACCACGUGAAGAUGGGAAGAGCUGCUCUUGGUGAUGGGAGAAUGGGGACUCUCUCUUUUAUUGUGCACAUUCCACUUUCCAUCAUGCAGGAAAAUCCGUCUUGAAGGCAGCUCCUCUCUGUGCCGGGGGUGGGUGAUCCAGCCUAAGCUAGAAUGGCGGCAAGCUCAAGGCAGCUGUGGCCCUCAGGAGAGCGUCUGGAGUCCACAGCACAGUGGGAAGCGCAAUGGCAGCUAGUCUGAGGGUCUGGACGAUGGCCAUGCACAGAUGGGGACAGAGGAGCCACUGUAGUGACUGAAGCCCACGGCAUGCACCCUCUCCAGCCAGCCCCGCCCACACCUGAAGCCCACAGCGUCCACCCUGUCCACCCAGCCCUGCCCACACCUGUGGCCUUCCUCUCCUUCCUGUUUGGUGAGUGCUGCCUCCACACCUGGCUGCAUACCAGAAAGGCCUGCACAGGUCAGAACACAGGUUUCCAAACCCCACUCCAAGUCUGAACCUCCAAGGACACCCCAAGCUCCCCGAGGUUCUUGCAUAGAGGGCACAGGCCAGAGACAGCCCAGGUGGGAAGCUUACUCUGAGUCAGCUGCCCUCACCAAGAUACAUCCACAGGCUCCUGUACAAGGAGAGGAGGCAGAAGUCCUCUCUGCCAGGAGGUCCUCCUCAAUCUCCCAAGCCCACACCACUGCCCUGCUCCAUCUCCCACCACCUCCCCCUGCAGAUACGGGGGCCACCCUACCCACCCCACAGGAACGAGGGGAAAACCUGCCUCCCUCUAGGAGGAGGGCGUGGCACAGCUGCUGCACGGGUAAGGAACCUCGCUAUGCCUUGCUCCCAUCAACACUUUUAUUCUAGAUUUGAAGGUGUUUUGGGGAAGCCAUCUCUGCACAAAAGAAGUCAACGCAGG
rnacentral:lncRNA from 1 species